AGGGAUCUAGAGAGACCAGGAAAAGGGACUUUGUGGUGGAGCCAUAGUUCCCUCCUUCCUCAAGCUGCUAGACUAACUACUGCUUAAGAGCACAGAUGCUGCACUAGACUGUCUGGGUUCAAAUCCAGCUUUGCAAUAUUCUAACUCUGGGACCUUCGGUGAGUUAAUUAACCUCUCUGUGUCUGUCUCCUGAUCUGUAAGAAAGGAGGAUAAUAAUAUUAACAAUCUCAUAGGGUUGCUAUGAGUAACAAAUGAGUCAGCACAUGCAAAACAUGUAGCACAGUGCCUGGCACAGAAAGAACACUGAAAGGAUUCUUUGUUUUUAUCUUCAUACAGGCCACUGCCUAUCCAUUAUAUUCCCUGCCUUUUCACCAUAAGGAACAAUUCCUCUAGGCUGAGAAUUGCUUUUUUCUGGUAUUACGUGUUAGAUUGUAAAUACUGGUGACACAUAAGGAUUACAAACAUUUAAUCUUGUUUUGUGUUAAUAUUUGUUUAUGAAAGACACCAUUAAAACAGAGGGUGGAGGAAAUCGGAAGAGGUCAGAGAAGAGCAAAAGAGGAACAGUGUGUUGGGUGUGGUCCCUGAGUGCUAUCAAGUAGAGGCUUCUCUGAGGGCAGGUCAUGACUCUCUACACAGCCAGAGCCCACAUGUAGACACACAGUACCCUGGGUUGGGGAGGAGGACAGGGAAUUGGGCACCCAGGGAGGCAAAGGGAGAGACUGAAGACCCACUUUGCCAAGCAUCAGCUCCAGAGUCAAGUGAGGAAGCCUCUGGAGGAAGCUCUGGUCUGAGCUGUGCUACACAUUAAUUAGAUGGUCUCGGCAAGUUGCUUUAUGUUUCUGGACUUUGAUGGUUCAUUGUUCAGUUGGAUGCAACCCCUUUUCUACCUUCCUCAUGGGGUUAUUUGCACAAGGAUCUGCUACACCGAAUUCUGCAAUUUCUUGGCUAUUGAGCAACAGAGACAAAUGGUUAAAAAAUAAAGCCAUAUAUGAAAAAUCGAAAUGAGGCAUAUCUGGCCUCAUACUGCCUCUUGCCAUCUCUGUUCUGUGCUGUGUGCCUGUGCACGGGCUCUCUCUAUCACUGAUGCUCUCUUUCUCUCUCACUCUUUCUCAUGCAUUCUCUGUCUUUCUCAUUCUCUCUGAUUUUCUCUCCCCCCUCAUUUUCUCUCUCUGUUUCGCUUUCUGGCACACACACACACUUACACACUCUCCUAUACAUUCACUUCCUUUUAUUUUGCCUUCACUAAAGAUGCCAAGGUUGCUACAAAACAAAAAGCUCAGGGCAGUCUAGAAAGGCAGGGACCCACUGGUGAGGUCUCCAGGUAAAUGGUGUCCUUUAUAAAUGUUGCAAAGCAAUUGCCAAGACAAAAAGCUUCAGAACAUAAAAACGUUGUAGACAAGAAAAAUAACUGAUGUGGGAUUUUCUAGAUGAGAAGUAAAGGGGUCUGGUGUCCAAAGUGGCUGCCUCUCAAGUUCUGGGUCAGGGCCAGAAUCCAGUCUCUGGACACCCCGUCCAGUGUCUUUCACAUGAUGCCAUUUAUACUAUUUAAUAUUCUUUUUAUGAUGAUUGUGAAUGUGGGAUUGGCUUAGAUUUGACUACAACUUUCUGUAACUUGCUAGAAAAGGUUCACCUUCCUGCACCCAUGCAGGGUUUAAAAUGGAGCCACACAUCCAUGAAUCAAGUUUACUUACCAGAAAAUUCCUCCCUCAGCUUUGGUCUGAAGGCCUUGUCCAAGGCCCUGAUCUCCUUCAGCUCCUUCUCCUCCACCAAGAGGCGGAUGAUCCUCUAACCCAGAAACCCUCCUGCUCCUGUCACAAGGCAGCUCCAGCCUGUCAUUGCCAAUCCAAUAUUGCAGGAAACACUCGCCAGGAAACAGAAGAUGCUGGGGAGCAGAUCUGAUUCUAGAUUGACCCUGGAGAGGGCUGAAAACGAGAUCAAAUGGUUAUAUACUCACACAAAUGCUUUAUUUUCCUCCACCCCAUUUUUUUUGGCAAAAAUUCCAUGUCUUCACCAUUGCCAGAAGUAGCUAAAAGAAAAUAAAGAAACUCCAACUGUUAGAUUAUUAAAAAGCUGGAUAGAAGAGUCAGAGUGCUGGUCACUUCAUCCCCUAAGGUAGCCCUGGAGUUCUAUGUUCUGUGGCUCCUGGCUUUCCCCUUAUCACUUUGAACUCCUGCCACAUACUCAUUGCUCCUGUCUCUUCCAGUAUGCCUUUUCUCAGAAGAAAAGUGACCUUUAAUGUAUAUCUCUAAUUCUUCCCAGGAACAGGAAGAGAAGUCCAAUUGUAAGGCUGUAGUGUGGUAAAGGGUCUUAGGUUUAGCCUUAACAGGACACUAGUUGGUUGAUUCCAGUUGUCUGGGAUCUGCAAUCUGUGAUCUUAAACUAGACUGAGAGAAAUCUCCAAGUGUAAUGUGAACUUUGCCUUUGUGCAGUAAAUAUGUUUGGAGGGAAAUCCACAUGAGCCCAUUCUCUCCUCUCUCAGAGUGUCAUUUGAAAUGCUGCUGCAGUCUUGCAAAGUUUAGAAAUUUGUAAUGGUGACAGCUCCAAUUACUGUUUUAUGGAGUUGACUUUCUUUCCCACUCAAUAUAUCCAAAACCUCAGUUGCCAUUUUACCCUGGAGAGCUCUGGGUUCCUAGAUGAAGAACAUCAUUGAAGGAAGGCUGUCUAGUGAUAGCCACUUAAUUAUAUGGCCUGUACUGUUGCUGUCAGUUACUACGGCAUGAACGAAGGGGGUCAAAUGUAGAAAGGAAGACAAAGACAAAAGGAUAUGUUUUAAAACAAGAGGUCAGGGGGCUCCUUGCUUCUAGUGAGCAAAGGCAGCUCUGAGCUUCUAAAGCCCUUUGUAUUUAUGAGGUAGAAAGAGCAGGUAGGGAGAGAUAAUGGUUGGUCAGCUGCUUGAUUUAUCACAGGUACACAUAAUUGCUUUCUUUAUACAACAGCUUCAGAGGUUCCUAUAGAUAAUCACAAGGAACACUGCACUGGGGGUGUGACGGCCUUCAGCACCCCUUCUGGCAGCAGACAUAGUUUGUCAGUUUUAAAACGUCCUGCUUUCAUGAGAACAGUUUUCUGUUUGCUCAAAUAGCCUCCAGUGGUAUACUGAGUUGGUCACGACCCUCAUUCUUUUUGGCCUGUAACACUGUACCACAAGAGUGGGGAUUUGUGGUUGUAUGCCCCAAUGACUCUUAUCAUAGAUGUUUGAACUUUUCCCAUAUUUUUGGGUACAAAACCAUUCUCAGCAAAUUUCUGAACUGAAGAUGUUGUGAAUGCUCCUUGAGCCUAUGCCAGAGAACUGCCCAAAUUUCACCACCAUAAGCUCUCCAAGACACUUUCCUCUAUCUAAAAAAAGAGGUGUAAUUUAUAUUCAUUAACAUGCCCAGAUCUCAAGUGUUCAGUUCAAUGAACAUUGACAGUUAUAUAUGUCCAUGUAAGUAGCAACCCAAAAAUGUAUAGGUCAUUUUCGUCACUGCAGACAGUUCUUUUCUGCCUGUUAUUGGCUAAUUCCCUGCCCUACUCCCAAUCUACCUGGUAGGCAACUACUUUCUGAUUUUUAUUCCCACAGAAUUCUUAUUUUAUCCCUAUAUUUUCUUAUUUAUUCUUCUAAGAUCUCUGUGGUUCUGGAUAUAUAUUUAAAUAUAAAAUCAUUCUGAAAUGAAUUUUUGUGCAUGGAGUACAGAAGGAUUGACCAUUGAUUGUCUCUAUUGUUUGUUCAUUUUUCUAUUUCAUGAUUUUCUUUGUUUUUAUUAUCAGCUUAUGUUUAUUAACUUGGGGGUUGUUUUACUCCUUUUUUUCAGGGUUCUUAUUAUAAAAGCAUAUAUAAUUGACUUUAGUCCUUUGCUCAUUUCCACUACAGGCAUUUAAAGUUGUAAGUUUCUCUCUAAGCACUGUGUCAGCUGCAGCCAACAUUUUGAUGCAUCGGGUUAUCAUCACUCAGUUAAUGAUGUUUUGAAUUUUUUCUUGUGAGUUCGUCUUUGACCCAAGUGACCGAUACCAACAGAGUAUGUAGCUUGUUUUCUGAAAUUGGGAAUCUUCUAGAUAUCUUAUUGUUUUGAAUUUCUAAUUAAAUACUACUGUGGCCAUAGCAUAUACUCUGUAUGAUUUUGAUCCUUGUGUAUAUAUUGAGACUUGUUUUAUGGUGCAGCAUAUGGUCUGUGUUGGUGAACAUCCCAUAAACACUUGAAACGAAUGCUUUCUGCAGUUGUUGGAAGUAAUAUUCUACAAAUGAUUUGCUUUGAAACCCCACUCUAGGUCUUGCCCUCCUCCCAUGUUGAAAACAUUCAACUGCUACUUGGGACCUGACUACCAAUGCUUCAAACCCACUUGCCUAGAAAAGGUUGGCCCUGUGCUGCAAGAUGUAGCAGCUUGUUCUCUGAUAGCUACAGGCCCUGGGUCUUGCUGAGACAUGUGGAGCACUAUCUGAACCACCCAGGUGCAUCACACACCUUUGCCUGCUAUAGCACAUGCUAGAGUGCACCUUACAGAUCCCAUCACCUUUCAGAUGGGGCCAGACAUUCCCUAUGCUGUUGAGAGUUCUGGAGGCUGAUAGAUUUCAGCCAGUGUCUCUUGGAGUCUCUGAGUGGAACCGAUAAAUAAAAGCCCUAAAGAAAGUGAGAAAUUAAACAAAGGGCAAGACUGAUGGGGGCCACACUACUAAAUUUCUUUUGUUUUUAAACAGCUUUACUGAGGUAUAAUUGACAUAACAUUCGCUUGUUUUAGGUGUGCAGUUAAAUUAUUUUCAGUAAAAUUUUAGACUUGUGUGACCGUCACCAUGAUCCUGUUUUGCAACAUUUCUAUCAUUCCUAAGAAAUCCCCCAUGUUCAUCAGUCACCACCACUUUUUCCCAGUCCCCAGCUCCAGGCAACCUCUAAUUGACUUUCUGACUCUACAGAUUUGCCUUUUCUGGAGACCAUAUAAAUGAAAUCAUGCAAUAUGUGGUCUUUUGUAUCUGUCUUCUUUCAUUUACUUUAAUAUACUUUUAUGGUUCAUGUAUGUGGCAGCACAUAUCAAUAUUUUAAUCCUGUUAGGUGACAAAUCCUAUUAAAUUGGAUGGAUAGCUCCCAUUAGUUUAUUCAUUUAUCAGUUGAUACAUAUUUGAGUGUUUCCACUUUAUGGACAAUUAUGGAUAAAGUUGCUAUGAAUAUUCACAUUCAUGUGUUGUGUGGACAUAGGUUUUUUUCUUCUGGGUAGACAGCUAGAAGUGAUAGUGCUAGGUCAUAUGGUAAAUAUAUCUCAACAUUUUAAGAUACUGCCAAACUGGUUUCCAACGUGACUACAUGUCCCAUCAACAAUGCGUGAGUAUUUUAGUUUUUCCACGUCAUUAUUUCACUUCCCCCAGGUGUUGCUGUCCUUUUUUAUUAUAGCAUUCUAGUGGGUAAGAAGUGGUGUCUCACUGUAGUUUUGAUUUGCAUGUCCCUGCUGACUGAUGAUGCUGACCAUCUUUUCAUGUAUUUUAUUGUCUAUUCCUACACCUUUUUGAUGAAAUGGUUAUUCAAAUAUUUUGCCUAUUUUAAAAUUGGGUUAUUUAUCUUUUUGUUGCGUAGUUGUAAGUGUAUUUCAUAUUCUGGAUAUGAGUCCUGUA
rnacentral:lncRNA from 1 species